AUUGAACGCUGGCGGCAGGCCUAACACAUGCAAGUCGAGCGGAGAGAGGUAGCUUGCUACUGAUCUUAGCGGCGGACGGGUGAGUAAUGCUUAGGAAUCUGCCUAUUAGUGGGGGACAACAUUUCGAAAGGAAUGCUAAUACCGCAUACGUCCUACGGGAGAAAGCAGGGGAUCUUCGGACCUUGCGCUAAUAGAUGAGCCUAAGUCGGAUUAGCUAGUUGGUGGGGUAAAGGCCUACCAAGGCGACGAUCUGUAGCGGGUCUGAGAGGAUGAUCCGCCACACUGGGACUGAGACACGGCCCAGACUCCUACGGGAGGCAGCAGUGGGGAAUAUUGGACAAUGGGCGCAAGCCUGAUCCAGCCAUGCCGCGUGUGUGAAGAAGGCCUUAUGGUUGUAAAGCACUUUAAGCGAGGAGGAGGCUACUUUAGUUAAUACCUAGAGAUAGUGGACGUUACUCGCAGAAUAAGCACCGGCUAACUCUGUGCCAGCAGCCGCAGUAA
rnacentral:rRNA from 1 species